rnacentral:rRNA from 1 species
CGCCAUGGCGGCCGCGGGAAUUCGAUUAGAGUUUGAUCAUGGCUCAGGAUGAACGCUGGCGGCGUACCUAACGCAUGCAAGUCGAACGGACCUUGGGAGCAAUCUUGAGGUUAGUGGCAAACGGGUGAGUAACACGUGGGCAAUCUGACUCGAAGUGGGGAAUAACGAACCGAAAGGUUCGCUAAUACCGCAUGGUCUUGAGAAAGUAAAGGUUUCCGCAAGGAGAUCGCUUUGAGAGGAGCCUGCGAUCGAUCAGGUAGUUGGUGAGGUAACGGCUCACCAAGCCGAUGACCGAUAGCUGAUCUGAGAGGAUGACCAGCCACACUGGGACUGCGACACGGCCCAGACUCCUACGGGAGGCAGCAGUGGGGAAUAUUGCGCAAUGGGCGAAAGCCUGACGCAGCGACGCCGCGUGAGGGACGAAGGCCUUCGGGUUGUAAACCUCUUUCAGCAGGGACGAAGCGAAAGUGACGGUACCUGCAGAAGAAGCACCGGCCAACUACGUGCCAGCAGCCGCGGUAAUACGAAUCACUAGUGAAUUCGCGGCCGCCUGCAGGUCGACCAUAUGGGAGAGCUCCCAA